AGGGGACCCGGGAAGUGCCAAGCUUCAGCAUGCUUAUCAGCUGAGGGACCGACACUUCGGGAGGACGAGGCUGCUGGAGGAGCAGAGGUCCAGGGACUGUUGGGGAUCAAGUCUUGGAUGCAAGGAGAGAGUUUUCAGGAUCAGGAAAAAAAGACAUUCACCUCUGCGUGGAAGGAAAGCGGCUCAAGAGGCCAGUUGCUAUUGGAAAUUCAGAUCCAGGCCUUCUCUCGAUGCAUGAACAUCCUGCCUCACACUGUGGGAUGAGUUAUCCCAAGAAGGCUACCAUGUGACAUUGCUCUUCUACAGAGGACAAAUUCUAAACGCUGCUGACAUUCAGUGCUGGAGCCAGACUGUCGAGACAGUCAGCCAGGGUCGGAGGCCCAAAGAGAACACGGAUGCCACCUUACCUGCCUUGGCAAGACCAGAACCCAUCCAUCUCAUCCAAGAUGGCUGCCUGCAGUACUGCCCUGCAGCAUUUCCUGCUUCCUAGGCAGCUCAGCACAGCUGGCUGGGCUGGCCCCUGCUGGGUCGCCUGUCCUGGCUCUCCCUUGCCCACCUGGAUUUGAUGACAAAGCUCAUCCUGAUUGGAUGCUUGAUCCAUACAAAGGAGCCUAACCAUGUAUAUAGUCCUCUUCUUCCUCCUCCUUCUUCUCCUCCUCCUCCUCUUCUUAUUCCUUUUCCCUUCCUCCUCCUCCUCUUCUUCCUCCUCCUUGAUCCUCUUCAUCAUCUGGGUCCAUCUGAACACAGGU